rnacentral:rRNA from 1 species
GAUGAACGCUGGCGGCGUGCCUAAUACAUGCAAGUCGAGCGAACAGACGAGGCGCUUGCUCCUCUGACGUUAGCGGCGCACGGGUGAGUAACCCUUGGAUAACCUACCUCUAAGACUGGGAUAACUUCGUGAAACCGGCGCUAAUCCCUUAUAAUAUAUUGACCCGCAUGGUUCAAUAGUGAAAGACGGUUUUGCUGUCACUUAUCUAUGUAUCCGCGCCGCAUUAGCUAGUUGGUAAGGUAACGGCCUAGCAAGGCAACGAUGCGUAGCCGAGCUGAGCGGGUGAUAGGCCGCACAGGAACUGAGACACGGUCAAGACGCCUACGGGAGGCAGCAGGAGGGAAGCGGCGGAAAUGGGCGAAAGCCUGAAGGAGUAACGCAGCGUGGGUGAGGAAGGGAUGCGGAUCGUAAAACUGUGUUAUUAGGGAAGAAGAAAUGAGUAAGUAGCUAUGCACGGGUUGACGGUACCGGAUCAGAAAGCCACGGCUAACUACGUG